rfam:Haemonchus contortus, ISE/inbred ISE, WGS project CAVP01000000 data, contig: Hcontortus_3866
GGCCCAAAUCUGAAGUAAGGUAGAUUGGUAAGGUCAGCUGAUCCUACUGUUCUUCUAAACUUCGAAAUUGGGCCC